rnacentral:hammerhead_ribozyme from 1 species
GCACUGAAGAAGAGUCCCAAACUACAAGGGACGAAACAGCUGUCCAGUAU